rnacentral:snoRNA from 1 species
CCAUUUUAUUCAGUUUCUUCUUAAGGUGAAGAAAAACUCUUUGUAAAUGCCCUAAAGAAAUAUAAUCACUUUCUGUUCCCCUUUUGCAAGUAAAAAGGGUGAAUCGUUCCACUACUGACAAAA